AGCUUUGCGCAAUGGCAGUAUCGUAGCCCAUGAGGUUUAUCCAAGGCAUGAUUAGUGCUAAUUGAUAUAGUCUUGUUUAU
ensembl:snRNA U4 U4 spliceosomal RNA